CCUACGGGUGGCAGCAGUGGGGAAUAUUGGUCAAUGGGGGGAACCCUGAUCCAGCGACGCCGCGUGAGUGAAGAAGUAUUUCGGUAUGUAAAGCUCUAUUAGUAGGGAAGAAAAUGACGGUACCUGACUAAGAAGCCCCGGCUAACUACGUGCCAGCAGCCGCGGUAAUACGGAGGGGGCAAGCGUUAUCCGGAUUGACUGGGUGUAAAGGGCGUGUAGGCGGGACUGCAAGUCAGAUGUGAAAACCACGGGCUCAACCUGUGACGUGCAUUUGAUACUGUAAGUCUAGAGUAGUGGAGAGGUAGACGGAAUUCCUGGUGUAGCGGUGAAAUGCGUAGAUAUUAGGAAGAACACCGAUGGCGAAGGCGGCCUGCUAGACAGCAACUGACGCUGAGGCGCGAAAGCGUGGGGAGCAAACAGGAUUAGAUACCCUUGUAGUC
rnacentral:rRNA from 1 species